rnacentral:rRNA from 1 species
UCAAGCUAGUAAGGGCGUACGACGGAUGCCUUGGCACAGACAGGCGAAGAAGGACGUGGCAAGCUGCGAAAAGCUCCGGGGAGCCGCAAACGGGCUUUGAUCCGGAGAUUUCCGAAUGGGGCAACCCUCCCAGGGUCAUGACUGGGAAUCCCGCGCUGAACACAUAGGCGCGGAGAAGCGAAACCGGGGGAACUGAAACAUCUAAGUACCUCGAGGAAAAGAAAAGGCAUCUUAUUCCCCAGUAGCGGUGAGCGAAAAGGAAGCCUAAACCAGCCUUAUGCAAGCGGAUCGGCGUUGUAAGGGUGGGGUUGUGGGGCCCCGCAGGACGGGCGAUUCACCGUCCGGGGAGUUAACAAGUCGGUGGUUAGGAGAAGCGUUCUGGAGAAAGUUCCCACCAGGGGUGACAGUCCGUAUCCGAAAACCAACCGGCCUCCCGUGGGAGUCCCCAAGUACCGCCAGACACGUGGGAACCUGGUGGGAAUCCGGGAAGUCCACUUCCCAAGGCUAAAUACUCGUCUGUGACCGAUAGUGAACCAGUACCGUGAGGGAAAGGUGAAAAGCACCCCAAAGGGCGGUGAAAUAGUCUCCUGAAAUCGUACGCCUACAGCUUCGCAGAAAGGGAGGUUUCCGUCUUUCGGGACGGAACGCCUGAUCGCAUGCCUUUUGCAUAAUGAACCGGCGAGUUACGUUGCAGGGCGAGGUUAAGGAACAGGAGUUCCGAAGCCGCAGCGAAAGCGAGUCUGAACGGGGCGUUUAGUCCUGUGACGUAGACCCGAAACUGUAGCGAUCUAUCCAUGGCCAGGGUAAAGGCGAGGUAACACUCGCUGGCGGCCCGAACCGGUGUCGGUUGAAAACGGCUCGGAUGCUUCCCGUGGAUAGGAGCGAAAGACUAAACAAGCUCAGAGAUAAGCUGGUUCUCCCGAAAUUGCUUUAGGGCGAGCCUCUGGUCAAUGUCUGGAGGAGGUAGAGCACUGAAUGGACUAGGGGCACAAAGCCUACCGAACCCAAUUAAACUCGAAUGCCUCGCAGAUGUAUCAGGGAGUGAGACAGUGGGGGAUAACUUUCAUUGUCAAAAGGGAAACAGCCCAGACCGUCGGCUAAGGUCCCCAAGUGGACGCUAAGUGGAAAAGGUGGUUGGGACAGCUAGACAGCCAGGAUGUUGGCUUAGAAGCAGCCAUUCAUUUAAAGAGUGCGUAAUAGCUCACUGGUCAAUUGUUCCAGCGCCGACAAUGUAACGAAACCAAGCGUCCCGCCAGAAACCGCGGGAUCCGCCUUCGGGUGGAUCGGUAGGGGAGCGUUCCGCGCGGAGUGAAGGUCGACCGUGAGGACGGCUGGACCACGCGGAAGUGAUUAUGCCGGUAUUAGUAACGAAAAGUACCAGCAUGUAGUACACGCCGAAAAUCUCAGGUUUCCUGGGUAAAGUUAUUCUUCCCAGGGUGAGUCGGUCCCUAAGCCGAGGCCGAGAGGCGUAGGUGAUGGGAAACAGGUUAAUAUUCCUGUACCACCUUAGCGCGUUCGAGCGAUGGGGGGACGCAGGAGGGUAGGCCAGCCUGGUAUUGGUAUCCAGGUUUAAGCCGGUAGGAGGACCCCUUAGACAAAUCCGGGGGUCAUCAACUCCGGAGAGGCGAAUAGAGGCCGUAAGGCCGGAACUGGAUGAUCCACACCGCCGAGAAAAGCCCUAGCAAGCGCACGGGUGACCGUACCGCAAACCGACACAGGUAGAUGAGGAGAGAAUCCUAAGGCGCUCGAGAGAACACUCGUUGAAGGCUCCGGCAAUCUCGCCCCGUAACUCCGGAAGAAGGGCGCCCGGACGGGUGAAGGGACUCGCUCCCUCAGCCUGCCCGAGCCGCAGCAGAAAAGGCGCAGGCGACUGUUUAGCAAAAACACAGGGCUCUGCAAAGUCGCAAGACGACGUAUAGGGCCUGACACCUGCCCGGUGCCGGAAGGUUAAGAGGUGGGGUUAGUCGCAAGACGAAGCUCUAAAUCGAAGCCCCGGUAAACGGCGGCCGUAACUAUAACGGUCCUAAGGUAGCGAAUUCCUUGUCGGUAAAGUUCCGACCCGCACGAAUGGUGUAACGAUCUGCGCGCUGUCUCAACGAGUGACUCGGUGAAGUUGUAAUCCCGGUGAAGAUGCCGGGUACCCGCGACUAGACGGAAAGACCCCGUGAACCUUUACUACAUCCUGAUAUUGGGUUUCGAUGCGUUUUGUAGAGGAUAGGUGGGAGGCGAUGAACCGUGGGCGCCAGCCUGCGGGGAGCCAACCUUGGAAUACCACCCUGAACGUGUUGGAAUCCUAACUCAGCGCCGUGAUCCGGCGCGAAGACAGUGUCAGGUGGGUAGUUUGACUGGGGCGGUCGCCUCCUAAAAGGUAACGGAGGCGCCCAAAGGUUCCCUCAGCACGGUUGGUAAUCGUGCGGCGAGUGUAAAGGCACAAGGGAGCUUGACUGCGAGACACACAAGUCGAGCAGAUGCGAAAGCAGGGCUUAGUGAUCCAGCGGUCCUUCGUGGACGGGCCGUUGCUCAACGGAUAAAAGGUACUCCGGGGAUAACAGGCUUAUCCUCCCCAAGAGCUCACAUCGACGGGAGGGUUUGGCACCUCGAUGUCGGCUCAUCGCAUCCUGGGGCUGGAGAAGGUCCCAAGGGUUCGGCUGUUCGCCGAUUAAAGCGGUACGUGAGCUGGGUUCAGAACGUCGUGAGACAGUUCGGUCCCUAUCUGUCGUGGGCGGAGGAAAUUUGAGGGGAGCUGCUUCCAGUACGAGAGGACCGAAGCGGAGCAUCCAACGGUGUACCAGCUGUUCCCGCCAGGGGCAUUGCUGGGUAUCCGUGAUGCGAUAGGAUAACCGCUGAAAGCAUCUAAGCGGGAAACCUUCCUCAAGAUGAGAUUUCCCUCCAGAUUCGUCUGGACUGAAGGGCCCUGGAAGACCACCAGGUUGAUAGGCCGGAGGUGGAAGUGCGGCAACGUAUGCAGCUGACCGGUACUAAUCGCCCGUGCGGCUUGA